rnacentral:lncRNA from 1 species
UUUGUUGUCAUCUAAAGUUCCUUUAUAGACCAUUCCAUGGCCACCGCAUCCAAGAACACGGUCUUCACUGAAGUUGUCUGUGGCUUUCUUUAUCUCUUUCUCUGUAAGUAUUUGAAUGGUGUCAACUUGCCUCGAUCUCAUUUCAUCAUAUAAUUUCAGACCUCCAUUUUGUUCGAAAUAGGCAUCCUUCUCCCUCCUAUGCUUCCUUUGUUGUAAUUUCAUAACCAAUAAGCAUGUCAAAGAUAUCACUACAACUGCAGAAGCACUGAGGCCUGCACAAUGAUGUUCUUAUGAUUGAAUGCCUCAAAUUCUAGAAAUUCAGUUUAGAUAGAUUUAAAGUUUACACUCAUGUAUGAUACUUACCUAUGGCCACCUGUUCAGCUUGGGUAAGCACAGGUUGACAUCCAGAAUUUUUACCAUCUGAUCUUGUUCCUAUCCUGCACUUGCAUAUAUAGCCUCCUGGUAUAUUGCGACAGAUCCCAUUUUUGCAUGGAUAUAGUUCUUUGUACUUCAGGUCCUGCUUGCGUAGCUUGCACUCGUCUAUAUCUGGAGGGAAAUCAAGAAAACUGAUUAAUAUAAAUUCAAGGAAAAAGAAGAUCAAAAUGCGAUUUAGUUCAGUAUAUGAUGAAGUAUCCUAAAUAAAAGUUGUACAAGUAAAAAAAAAAAGUCUUUUAAGCUGUGCUUUCAGUGAAAGAGUUAGCUAUUACCAUGUGUGCUAACAUUGCUCCUGCAGUUUCUGAUCUCACUUCUAAACUCUCUAGGUAAUAGUGAGUUCAUUGGAACAAAUAACUAACCUUGGCAGCCGUUGGAAAGAUAAGGAUUUCCCUCAUAACCUUGAGAGCAGUUGCAAAGGUACCCUGGCCCAUUGCUUGCAUUUACACAAUAGCUGUUUGUACUGACACAAGCAUAGUCUUUGGGUGCUUUUGUCCCAUCUUUUGGACAGGAGCCUUUUCUAAUAGCCCAGUCACCGACAACAGGAACACCUCUCUUUGCUCUUUCCUUUAUGAACCCAAGGUGCCCGACAAGGUCCUGCCUCCUGAAGCUGUACCACCCAACCUCAACAAGCAUCGAAU